ACUCCUACGGGAGGCAGCAGUGGGGAAUAUUGCGCAAUGGACGAAAGUCUGACGCAGCGACGCCGCGUGGAGGAUGAAGGUUUUCGGAUCGUAAACUCCUGUCAAGAGGGAAGAAACCUAUUAUGAAUAAUACUCAUAGUAAUUGACGGUACCUCUAGAGGAAGCACCGGCUAAUUCAGUGCCAGCAGCCGCGGUAAUACUGAAGGUGCAAGCGUUAAUCGGAAUCACUGGGCGUAAAGCGCUCGUAGGUGGCUUUGUAAGUCAGGUGUGAAAGCCCACGGCUCAACCGUGGAAUUGCACUUGAUACUGCAUCGCUAGAGUAUAGGAGAGGGAAGUGGAAUUUCUGGUGUAGGAGUGAAAUCCGUAGAGAUCAGAAGGAACACCCGUGGCGAAGGCGACUUCCUGGACUAUUACUGACACUGAGGAGCGAAAGCGUGGGAGCAAACAGGAUUAGAUACCCCGUGGUAGACUGUCA
rnacentral:rRNA from 1 species